CAAAAACAUAGCCUCCCGCAGAAAUGGGAGGUCACGCCUGCCCGGUGGACGAAUCAGUCUAAACGGCCGCGGUAUCUUGACCGUGCAAAGGUAGCAUAAUCAUUUGUCUUUUAAAUGGAGACUCGUAUGAACGGCAAAACCUUUUCCAACUGUCUCCCCCGCUAUCCUUAGAAACUCUUAUCUAGGUGAAGAAACCUAGAUAGCCUAGAAAGACGAGAAGACCCUGUCGAGCUUCAGUCCGAAAAGAUUAAACAAUAAAGAAUGCUACAAGCACCAAGACAACAAUCCUAGAAGACUUUGGUUGGGGCAACCAUGGAGAAAAACAAUACUCCAGUACGCGCAGAAGACGUCACGUCACCGCACAAGAACAAAAUGAGAACCAGAAACUGGCAAUCGGAAAAAGUUACCGCAGGGAUAACAGCGUAAUCCUCUCUAAGAGUCCUUAUUGACGAGAGGGUUUGCGACCUCGAUGUUGGAUUGGGACCUCCAUAGGGUGCAGAAGCUCUAAAGGGUUGGACUGUUCGUCCAUUAAAGUCCUACAUGAUCUGAGU
rnacentral:rRNA from 1 species